GUGCAUAAUCGUUUUAGCUUUAUUUUCCAAGUUGCGGAGGAGGUAGUUCCGGAAGAGGGAACUAGGAUUGUUGAUUUGAAAGUGUUGAUUUAGAGCUUGAAGUGGUUGAAGUAAAGAUUUGCAAGAUUUGAAGGUAUUUAGGUCAUUCAUGGAUGAAUGACAAGCUUUUGGGUUUAGAGGCUUAGUUAUCCCUCUCCUUUUGGCUCUUGGUACAUUUUGGGUUGAUGGUCAUAUUUUGUUAUAUUAUGUAAAAGAUCAGGUGUAAAGCUUUUUAGAAAAGAUGUAAAGUUGCACUUUGGGCGAAAAUUGUGUCAAAAUGGGUAAGAUGACCCGUUUACUUGUAGAAACUUGGUUUGUAUAAAUGGAUGGUAUGGAGACUUUUGGAAA